UUUGGGGCUUUGUGGAAGCCUUUCAGGGCAAAGGGCUGGGGGUGCUGGAGAUGCCCUCGGAGCCCAGGACACAUAGGGGGUGAGGGUGGGACAGUGUUAGGAAUGUGGGGGGCCCUGGGGACAGGGCGAUGCUGGACUCUUGCCCCAAUGCCGCAGCCAUACUGGGGAUGUCAGAGGUAUCCUCUGUCCCCCUGCUGCGAUACUCUUCAUUUUUCCCUGUUGCCUGUCUUAGAAGAGGUUUUGGCCACCACUGGGUGUAGGCCCGCAGGAUACACAGCUGCAAGGGGGUCAUGGGCAGCGUCUCCCCUUUCCCUCUGCAAACUGACUGAGCCUGGCACAGCUGAGGGCACAGCAUUACCAGACUCCCCAGGCAGAGGAGUGCAAGAGCAGCGGAGGAGCCAGCUGCCAAACUGCCGAGCAGCCAAGGAAAGCCUGAAAUGCCCGAGUGCAAAACCCUUUUUAAAGGACCGGACAAAUGACCUGAAUCCACACUUAGAACCAGUUUCUAAACUCAAGCAUGUUGACAGGAACAAGAAGGAUGUUCUCAGAAAUGUGAUGAAGAGUGCUCAGGAGGAUGGCAAGCUUAGUGCCAAAUCCACACAGCACACUGGCCACGCUAGUCAGCAGAAGCCUUCAAACACAUCCCAGAGAGCAGUGGGGGUGCAUCCAGUGCAGCCAGGGAAGAGCACAAAGCUUCCUGCUUCUGCACAGACCAGAGGCAGGCUCCCACCUCCAGGCUCUGGUCACCUAAAUCUGGAAAGGAAGAAGAAGUCUGCACAGGACACUAUCACUGCUGCAGCACUUUGUGUGGGAAGUGACCACUCCCCCCCUGGAGCGCCUUGGUCCCUGAAUGAGGAGCUGCAGGAUGGGCUGGUCUGUCACAAGGAAAACCUCAGCCCAAGAGCCUCCACACUCCCAGAGCUAAACAGAGAUUUCCAAUUUGAUGGAAGCAGUCUUGGGAAGAAGAGAGUCUUGGCUUACGAGCAAAGCUCAGCUGUAAUGUCAAGGCCCGUUGUGGGCCCAGAGGACAAAAUUAAUAACCGCCAGGCUAAGAAAGACCCAGUUCCAGAUAAAUUCAGGAAAAUCCUGCCAGGCUCAAAGAGCAUGUCUCAAAAAACAAGUGUCAGAACUCAGCCAUUGCAGCCCCCUAGGUACCUUCCUGCUUCUGCUAAUUUGCUACAUAGAAAAAUAGGGACAAACCAGGAAAAAACUACUACAGUGAGGCAACCUGUGGGAAAGCCACCUGGCACAGCUCCAGUGGGAGUUUUUAAGCACCAAUUUCAACCUCCCCCAAUGAGAAGUUCUCCCACUAAGCCUCUGGCCUCAGGCAGGCCUCAGGGGACAACAAACCUGAAAUCCAGCCUGAACCGAGGUGGCACCAUGCCACAGCCAAGGCCCAUGAGUAAAGGGGGGACGGACAGGAAGGACAUGAACGUGGUGCGUCCCAGACACACAGCAACAUCCCGAGGGAUAGACCACGCAAACCAGCCUCCCAGCACACACUGCUCCAAAACUCAUGCACUUGAGGGUAAUUUGAGGAGUAGGAAAGAUCAGCUUAAACCGGAGCUGCCGAAGGCAAUCGUGCAGUAUGGGCGUGUUCCCAGGAUCCCAUCAGCUGCGGAUCGUAAGAAACAGCUGGAGGAGUGGCUGGCAUCGAAAGGCAAGAAAUACAAGCGGCCGCCGAUGACACUGCUUCAGAAGCAGGCAGUGAAGCCGCCCUGCAGAAAGGUCAAGGCGAAAGAGAAGCAAGAGAAUCCAGAGCAGCACUGCCUGGUGAAGAUCAACAACAUAUUAACUGAGUGCCUGAACUUUGUUGAGGAGGUGGGAAUGGGAAAGAGGCUGCUUGAACAGGCUCCUCCUCCCCUGGAGCAUCCCAGGGGAUGCAGACCAUGUACCUUCACAGCACAGAGGGGUUGGGAGCAAGCAUUCAGUUGCUAGAAGGGAAACAUGGGUAGGGAAGAUAAAAGUCCUCACGGAGUUAUGGGUAGGUCAAAGGCACAUGGUGAGCUACACUGACAGGGAAAAUGGAGAGGUACCCCAUCAAAACGGACUGUUGUGGUUUAACCCCAGCCAGCAGCCAAGCCCCUCGCAGCCACUCACUCAUUCCCCCACCAGUGGGAUCAGAAAGAGAAUCGGAAGGGUAAAAGUUACAGAACUUGUGGAUUGAGAUAAAGACAGUUUAACAGGGAAAGUGAAAGCCAUGCACACAAGCGAAGCGAAACAAGGAAUUUAUUCCCUUCUUCCCAUGGGCAGAUUCAGCCACCUCCAGGAGAGCAGGGCCCCGUCACACAUAAUGGGGACUUGGGAAGACAGACAACAUCACUCUAAAUGUCCCCCCACUUUAUAUACUGAGCAUAUAGUCUGGAAUAUCCCUUUGGUUAGUUUGGGUCACCUGUCCCAGCUGUGUCUCUUCCCAAUCUCCCACGUGCCCCGAGCUCCCCAGCGAGGCAGUAUGAGAAACAGAAAAGGCCUUGGUUCUGUGUAAGUCUUGCUCAGCAAUAACAAAGACAUCUUUAUCAUCACUGUGUUCAGCACAAAUCCCAAACAGAGCCUCAUACCAACCGCUGGGAAGGAAAUUAACUCUACCCCAGCCAAAAGCAGUGUGGGACUCACAUGUGUAACUGACGGUGUUCUGGAAACUGGCAGUGCAGUCUGCAAAAGCAAUGUCUGCAACAGAAACCCAGGCUGAUUGAACCAGCUUGAAGUAGAUCCCUGUUGGUGUCACAGUCUGAGGUACGGCUCUGGUGGGGGACUGUUGCUGGGAACACUGCCUGCUAGCUCUGCUCCAGGAUUUAGUGGCUCAAAUAAUGCCAGCACUGGAGUCUAUCCCUUGACAGCUCUUUGGAGUACUAGACUCAUUUAUCCAAGGAGAAGAUAGAGGGAGGACAGCCCGUUGUUACGUAGGAGACUUGUAAACCCAGACUCCUGAGACCUUCUUUCUCCUGAAGAGUGCUGGAAGCACAGUCAGGGUGUCCAUGCAGAGGAGCUAUCAAAAGUGCUGUCUGUUGUGCCCCAGGCAGAGAAAUUUGCCAAAUUCUGGAUCUGCCAAGCAAAGCUGCUGGCCCGGAGUGGCCCCUUUGA